rnacentral:rRNA from 1 species
AUACGUAGGGGGCGAGCGUUAUCCGGAAUUAUUGGGCGUAAAGAGUACGUAGGCGGGAGCUUAAGCGCAGGGUUUAAGGCAAUGGCUUAACCACUGUAUGCCUUGUGAACUGAGCUUCUUGAGUGCAGGAGGGGAAAGCGGGAUUCCUAGUGUAGCGGUGAAAUGCGUAGAUAUUAGGAGGAACACCAGUGGCGAAGGCGGCUUUCUGGACUGUAACUGACGCUGAGGUACGAAAGUGUGGGGAGCAAACAGGAUUAGAUACCCUGGUAGUCCACACCGUAAACGAUGAGCACUAGGUGUCGGGUAUGUAAGUAUUCGGUGCCGCAGUUAACGCAAUAAGUGCUCCGCCUGGGGAGUACGUACGCAAGUAUGAAACUCAAAUGAAUUGACGGGG